UGAAGAGUGGGACGUCCCAACUUCUUAAGGGCCUGGAACGCGGCAAGCACUACCUUUUCACCAUGGCCUGUGGUUGAGGUGGUUUGAGUUUGCAGCUGGAGCUAGUAGCUGGUGACAAGGGCAAAUGAGCUAGUGCCUUUCUAAUUUUUGGAAUAUGUUUUCGGGAAGCUUAACUGGAGGCGGCAGCGCCCACGCGGGCUUUGGGGCAGGCGCUGUGGCCGGGUGUUGGAGGCUGGCAGGGCCACGCCACGCUGCCGAGGUCGCGUGGCUGGACGCGCGUGCUUCUGCCACAGGCCCGUCGCCCUCCCCAGAGCCUGAGCUCCCCGAAGACCGGGACCCCUCUCCCUGGACUCGCCGUUGGGGAUGGCAGACCCCCUGAAGAGGACCGAAGACGGGAGAAGCAUCCCACCCUAAGGGCUGCAAUUGAAUGAAGGACUGGCAAGGGCUGAGGACUGCAGUGAGGAGCAUUGGUCUGCCAUGAGGUUUUGAGUGCUGAAGAAUGGUGAUCAGCAGUGCAGUUCGAAGCUGGUGAUGGUGGCAGCAGCUCACCCUGGGAAGAGACUAUUUUUCCAGAGGAUGGUCAGUCAUGCUGCAGCAGGAGAAUUUGAAAUCCCAAGGACCAGUGGUCACCAUCCAUUUGGACUCCGAAAACCUAGUCUGCAAUAUUUGGUAUAGAAAGUCUCACCUUGUACUAAGAAUCAGAGAGGACCAAUGAUAGACAGAUGGAUUUGGCAACCUUUUUGUAGGACAAACACUUUGGUGUCAUUAAAUUCAUGAAUUUUCUAGUAUUGUCCCUUGCUCAAAAGGAGCGUCUGCAUAUUUUAGUAUUGUAUUUGUUAUGUUGGGCAAGGGUCCUAGUUCUUUAAGCUGGAAACUUCUUCCUGAAAUUAACAUCCAUGCAAUUACCAUAAACUAACAUUGUAAUAAAGGAUGAUCUUUGGUACUGGUUUUUAAAAUGUGUAUUUGAAGAAAGUUAAAUUUGAUCACUGCUGUCAAAUAUUAGCAGUCCAUGUGCUUAAGCACUCGUCAACUUCCUUAUGGUCUAAGCUGUUUUCUUUAGACUUUGAGGGUAAAAAUCCCAGAGCAUUUAAGGCUUCAUCCAUACACUUGAGUCCAGUCCCUAGUUCCUCUGGGCUCUGUCCUUUGCCUGGCCUUCCUCUAGUAACUCCUAAAGUUGUACACUAUGCCAGACUCUUAGCUUAGCCCCCAUCUUGCUGCCUUCCUGUGUUGUAAUUUUGCCUACUUGGCAUGAGGCUAGUCCGUUCUGAAGGCCUGAGGAGGUAAAUCAGCUUCAGGCAUCUGGAAUGAUUUUCUCUGGCUCAAGAUUGGUUCACUAUAUUUGGAAGGGAUAUUUUAAAACUGGUAGCCUAGGGUAAGGGUGGGUGAAAACCUUUGCUUUUGGGAACCUUCAGUUUUCUUCCUUUUAGCUGUCUUUGGGACAUCAGAUCUGCCAGGAGUUCAAAGAAGUGCUUUUAACAUUCUGGUCCUGGGUGUUUAACAAGAGCUUCCAUAAUAGGAUUUGGAAUGUGCUCACAAUGUCAAGGAUUACUUCAGGGACUCAUGGUACUUUAUGGGAAAAGGGUUCUUGCCAGCAACUCUAGAACAAUUCAUGUUAAAGUCUGGUAGUCUUUUUGGUAGGGGGCAUGGGGAUUACGGUAAAGGGUUUCUCAGUGGGCCUUUCCAUGCACAUCUGCCCCAGACACCCUAGGAUGCUCUACAUUGAAGGGUAGUUGCUGGUUCUAUGGGCAGGCCUCUGGAAUCCAGUUUGAGGGCUGAGACUGGAGGUCAGUUACAAGGAGCCCAGGGGUCCACAAGGAGACAAGGCUCCCAGUCCACCCUCCACUCGAGUUAGGGUACUAAGAUGCCAACCUGCUUUGAGCAGGGUCACAUACAUUUGGCUGGAAUUUGCUGCCCCCAAGUAGAACAAAUGCGAUGUAGAAUUGGAAAGUCCUGGGUUGGAUAUGGGGCCUCAACUACAUUUCUUUUCUUGGGGAGAGUUCUUAACAUACCACUCCGGUUAAGCUUGUGGCAUCCCCACCCAUAAGUCUGGGGAGGCUGAGGGCAGAUUCUUUUGAACUGGGGAUGACUUAGCCAAAUGAUGAUGGAGAUUGACAAGGGGUAAAAUGGAGGACCAAUGAGAAGUAUUACCCCUUUCCCAGAUUCUAUCAUCUGGCUUCCCAUGGGUGGGGCCGCCUAGGCCUGAGCACCCUGGUAGGAGCCAUUAGUCUGCCUCAUCUAUCCUACCCCACAAGGACUACCUUGGUGAGGCCCCCACUUCUUUGUCACGUCUGAGCUGGACCUGCAGUCUCCCUGCCCUCGUGGUCUUUGACAGGGUCCAGAAGGUCCCCUCCAGGGUCCUCCUGGCCCACUAUUCCAUCCCGGAAUUCCUCUCCAUAGCCUGGGCCCUCGCCCAGCUCCAAAAUAGUGGGUAGGUGGCCCUGCUUUGGGGAGCGUUUACGCAGGCUGAGCAGGAAGGGCUGGGGCAAAGAGAAGAUGUCCACAUUGUUGCCAAGGUCAAUCCACGUGACACUGGGGAACUUGCUGGGGUCCUUAAGGGUGUCCGUGAGGUCACGCAGUAGGGCUCGGGUCAGCCGGUUGCCAUUGAGGGCCAGU